GGUGAAAUGGCCGAGAUUAGGCAAUAAAUUGUAAAUUUAUUUACGGAAUUUCUCCUUUCACCAG
rnacentral:tRNA from 1 species